CCAGCACCUGCGGUAAUUCCAGCUCCAAUAGCAUAUAUUAAAGUUGCUGCAGUUAAAAAGCUCGUAGUUGGAUUUCUGGCUUGAAACAUUUAGCCGGCCACGGUUUCGUGUGUUAGUGCUUGAUGUUCUGGCCAUCCUUCCAAUUGCUAUUCAUCUUUCUUCAUUGAUGGGUGAGUGGUAUUGGAUCUUUUACUUUGAAAAAAUUAGAGUGUUUCAAGCAGGCUUAAUGCUAUGAAUACAUUAGCAUGGAAUAAUAAUUUAGGACUUCGGUUCUAUUUUGUUGGUUUCUAGGACUGAAGUAAUGAUUGAUAGGGAUAGUUGGGGGUGCUAGUAUUCAGCGGCCAGAGGUG
rnacentral:rRNA from 1 species